rnacentral:rRNA from 1 species
UACGUAGGGUGCAAGCGUUGUCCGGAAUUAUUGGGCGUAAAGAGCUUGUAGGCGGUUUGUCGCGUCUGCUGUGAAAUUUCGGGGCUCAACCCCGAACUUGCAGUGGGUACGGGCAGACUAGAGUGUGGUAGGGGAGACUGGAGUUCCUGGUGUAGCGGUGAAAUGCGCAGAUAUCAGGAGGAACACCGAUGGCGAAGGCAGGUCUCUGGGCCAUAACUGACGCUGAGAAGCGAAAGCAUGGGGAGCGAACAGG